CAGUCGAGCGGUAAGGCCUUUCGGGGUACACGAGCGGCGAACGGGUGAGUAACACGUGGGUGAUCUGCCCUGCACUCUGGGAUAAGCUUGGGAAACUGGGUCUAAUACCGGAUAUGACUGCAUGCCGCAUGGUGUGUGGUGGAAAGAUUUAUCGGUGCAGGAUGGGCCCGCGGCCUAUCAGCUUGUUGGUGGGGUAAUGGCCUACCAAGGCGACGACGGGUAGCCGACCUGAGAGGGUGACCGGCCACACUGGGACUGAGACACGGCCCAGACUCCUACGGGAGGCAGCAGUGGGGAAUAUUGCACAAUGGGCGGAAGCCUGAUGCAGCGACGCCGCGUGAGGGAUGAAGGCCUUCGGGUUGUAAACCUCUUUCAGCAGGGACGAAGCGUGAGUGACGGUACCUGCAGAAGAAGCACCGGCUAACUACGUGCCAGCAGCCGCGGUAAUACGUAGGGUGCGAGCGUUGUCCGGAAUUACUGGGCGUAAAGAGUUCGUAGGCGGUUUGUCGCGUCGUUUGUGAAAACCCGGGGCUCAACUUCGGGCUUGCAGGCGAUACGGGCAGACUUGAGUGUUUCAGGGGAGACUGGAAUUCCUGGUGUAGCGGUGAAAUGCGCAGAUAUCAGGAGGAACACCGGUGGCGAAAGCGGGUCUCUGGGAAACAACUGACGC
rnacentral:rRNA from 1 species